UACGUAGGGUGCGAGCGUUAAUCGGAAUUACUGGGCGUAAAGCGUGCGUAGGCGGUUCUCCAAGUCCGUUGUGAAAGCCCCGGGCUCAACCUGGGAAUGGCAGUGGAAACUAGGGGACUGGAAUCUGGCAGAGGGGGGUGGAAUGCCGCGUGUAGCAGUGAAAUGCGUAGAGAUGCGGCGGAACACCGAUGGCGAAGGCAGCCCCCUGGGCUGAGAUUGACGCUGAGGAGCGAAAGCGUGGGGAGCGAACAGG
rnacentral:rRNA from 1 species